AUGGGCUUCUGCGACAUUGAGCUCUUUAAUUUGGCACUUUUAGCUCGGCAGGCUUGGCGUCUGUUAUAUGAACCAGGCUCUCUCAGUGCCCGUAUUUUGAAGGUGGUGUAUUAUCCAAAUUGCUCGGUCCUUGAAGCUGAGGUGGGGAAGUAUCCAUCGCAAGUGUGGCGCUCUAUUGUUGAUGGAAGAGACACACUCAAGCUUGGUCUCAUAAAGCGGAUUGGUACAGGGGAGGACACGGAUAUUUGGCUGGACAAUUGGAUCCCCCAUGAUUUCAAACAUCGGCUGGUUUGUUCCAAGACCACAAGUCCACCACUAAAGGUCAUGGAAUUGAUUGAUCAUGCUACAACUUCAUGGAAUGUAAACCUGCUCGAUGAGCACUUCUAUGGGAUGGAUAAGGAGGCGAUCAUGAACAUCCCGAUCUCUUCAAAAGUGCAGCAAGAUUUUUGCGCGUGGCAUUGUGAGAAGUAG
rnacentral:rRNA from 1 species